UAGAUAUUCGUCAUGCAAAUUGUGCGACGAUUAAAUUCCUUUUCGUCGCGCAAGGAGCUGAAAAUUUGACAUUUUGUGCGCGAUGAAUAUAUUUCUAUUACGUCGCACAAGAAUCUCAGGAUUUAACUGAAAUCGCAAACACUUUCCCCUCAGCUCUUCCUCUAACAACCCUCUGUAAAUCCUCUCUCCCUCUGACAACCCUCUCUCUCACUAAAUCUCUUUCACCCUCUCUGCCGCUCGCCACCUUGGACUCUUUCUUCCUCUUCCGACAGCCAUCUCUCUUCCUCCUCCGACAGCCGUAUCUCUGAGAUGUCACAGCUUAUUAGAAGUCGUAAGACGGUGACGACUGCACCCCGUUCGAUACCCCCGCCUCCUACUUUAUCCACCACUGCUCCAGCAGAAAUGGACCUCAGGCUGGUUAAUUUGAUUGAUCUGGUUGGUCCCUGGGUCUCCCAGGUGUUGGCGUCAUCAGUAGCGCUACCUAUUAGCGCCAAGCAUGGUCACCACCUCCCCCGCACACCCGACACGACAUUGGCAUCCACUAUUGAUGGCUCGGAGUCACAACAAGGAAAAGUUAAACAACGCCCCGCACGCUGAUAACCGUUUUUUUUUUCUAUAGUGCCUUGGUGAUUUCUCCAUAUAGACUGUUCUAUGUGAUAUUGGAUUGCCUAAUGAUGCUGGGAGGGUGGUUAUUAGUUCUUUGUAGGGAACAACGUGUCUUUAAAUGUUUAUUCAAUUUUCUUUAGUCCUGAGGUCAGUGGCUACCGUGCAUUUAUCUAAUUCGAUUACUUGUUCAAUUUUUUGGUUUGAUUUUUGCUGCUAGUUAAGAUUAAAUAUUUUGGUUAAUUAAAUUAUGCUCUAAUCAAUCUCUGGACUGGAAAAAGCUCACUGAUUUUUUGUUCUACUUAGUCUUCGAAAUUUCGUUUUUGCUGCUCGAUCUUUUGUUUUUCUGCUUAAUUACGAGUUUUACUAGUUUAAUUUUGUUCAAAAUUUGAGCUGGAGUUGCUUUAAGUUCGAUCUUUAGUUUGUUAGUUGGGUAAGUAGAAGGAAAAUGUGUAAAGCUGAUAAUUUAGUUUUCUCUACAUGUCCUUUAUAUAAAGGAUUUUCAUCUGAAUGAUCAUGGUAGGCGUUAGGCCGUUAGUCUUCAAGUAUUGAAGCAAUUCAUAUGGCAUUUGAAUUUGCUACUUAAAUUCCCAGGUUCUACUAUGUAAUAUUUCACUUGGCAUCCACUACUGAAGCAUUCAACUGUUGUGAUUGUUGUUGGACAUCAUAUAUUAUUAAUUACAAUGUACAGGGUUUGGGAAAUGUUCUAACUUUAGGGGAGGUUUUCCCGAAAUUUCAAUAUAAUUUGUAGUGUUUGACUGUUCUUUUUUUUCAACGAAGAAAAAUACCCGGGGACCUUGUCGCUAGUUGAAGACGGUGAAGGUCACCCAGGUGACGAACAAACGUAUCACGAUUGGAUUGGCUCACGACGUUCGAACCUAUUGCCCUAUGCGAUGGAAGUCUUGGAAGGCGAUGCCAGAAGAGGUGAGGUUGAAGGUGCACGCUUAUUAGUCGGUAAGUAUCAUGCCUUAAUGUAUGUAAUUAAUUUGUUACAUUGUAGAUGAACUACAAUUUUGACGACAUCAACGACAAUAUGUUGGCGUACGUCAACAUGCUCUUCGUUGAACGGUACAAGCAGUGGAAGAGCGACCUGCACCAAUAUUUUCAGACAUUUGAUGAUUUGCAUGUCGCUGUUAAGAAGGGUUACUCGAAGGAGUUUGAGGAUUGGGAAGAAAAUUGGGUGUGGCUCUGCAGUCAUUUUCAGGAGCCCGGCUAUGUGGCACGUUUUUUAUAUUAAGUCUAAAAAAUGUGAAAGCCAACAAGAUCAAUCGGGAGAAGAAGACUCUUCUCCACCAUUCGAGUUCGAGACCUUUCUCAUAUAGGAUGGAGAUGCGGCAGCAGGGGGUUUCAAAAUUUCCAAAGAUCGACGUCUUUGCAGACGUUUAUGUUUGACCCGAGGAUGAGUUGGCUGAGUCCCUUCAUGUAAGCAUUCUUCAAUUGUAACUACCAUCUUACGCAAUCAAGUAUAAUGGUUAUUGUUUGAAUGUUAUUAUUAAUAUUUCAUGUUAUAUUACACAUGUGAAUAUGAUA